rnacentral:lncRNA from 1 species
GUAAUACAUACCCUGCCACUCUCCUCAUCUUCCCAUAAAGGUGUUACAGCCUCCCCCAUUGCCCCUCAGUUCCCUUUGAGAUUGCUACUAAGGGGCUGCAUGUGAGGUUAAGAGUGUAGGGUCUAGGGCUCGAUUUCUGGGUUUCAAAUCAUGGCUCCAGCAUUUACUGAUGGGAGACCCUGGGCAAGCUUCUUCACCUUUCCACGCCUCAGUUUCCACACCUCUAAGAUGAGAACAUGAUGCACUUAUUUCAUAAGGUUGUUGUGAGGUCUAAAUAAGCUAAUUCUUAAGUCGAGUUCCCCCGGGAAACGGGAAACUCUGUUCCUCUGAGGCAGAGACUUGCUAGGGAGAGUUCUUGGAAGAGAGAGAGAGUGAGGGAAGCAGGGUUGGGCAGAGGGAGGAGCUGAAUGCCUUGCUGUUGCAACAGAGAUGGAAGCUGUUCCCAGGGGAUGCUCUGGAGUGGCACAGCCCUUCGGAGCUGUCCCCCACUGAGGCAAAGGGGCAGGCCUUUCAUCGGAUGCAGUUGCCCCAAGAAGACGGCCUAAUCUUAAGCAAGCUCUGUCAAGAGUAGCUCCUGGAGCGAGUGCACUGGGAGCCUACAGCAGAUAACAUGCUGGAAGAUGGGGGAUGAGAGCCUCCGUCCAAAACAGGGAUCUGGGCUUUGUGCCACAGCACAUGCACAUAAGGCACUUAGACUAGCACUCAACAUGUUAUCGGCAGCCACUAAAUGUUAGCUCUCGGAUUUACUUAAUACAGGGAUUGCUAGACAAUAAGGAAAAGUGGUGAGUUUUUUCUCGUCUCUUGGAAUUUAAGUUUUUAUUUCAUGAGGGGCAUCUAAGAGUUGCUGUUCCUCAGCAAGGCCUAGACGUAAACGGUUAGAAAGGAGAGAAACAAGAGGAGAAGAGGUUCCCCACCUUAGAGAACUCAGUGAGAAGGCUCAGAAAAGCUGGUCAGGGAAGAAAAGAGAAAAGCCACAGAGGAGAAGAGAAGAAGAAAGCCUGUGAGACAGUCGUUGAGGCAUUGCUAGAGCAAGAGAGGUCCAAAUGGGAAUAAUGUGUGGGGUCUUUGUCAAAGCAGAUUCCGUUGUUAAGCCAGGGCCUGCAGAAGAUGACCCAGUUGGUCAAAACAUAAUGCGCUCUGAAGAGCCAGAGUCCACCCUUUGCCAACCUCCCAGUUGCUUAGUGGGUUGGUCAGUGGAGCACAGGGGCAGGUCCAGCAGCAGCUCACACACCGGCAGCGCCAUCUCAGACGCCAGCAUCCCACCCUCACCCCCGUCUCGCUGACCUAGGCUCUUGUUCUUCCUCUCUCACGAGUCCAGGGAUACCGCAGCCCACCCGGCCCCAUCAGCAGGACGUUCUGCUGGAGGAGUCUGUCAGCUGAGGAAAACUCGGAGUUGAGCUGCUUUGCCCUGCCACCCUUUCCAGCUGUGCUUCCCCAUCCCUCUGCUCGUGGAGGACCCUGAUUCCCACCUGCAGGGACCCCAAGGGCAGCAUCCAAGGGAGGCAGGUCUCCAGCUCCCAAAGUCUUUCGGGUGUGCUGGGCCCUGGGGGACCUUUGCUCCUCCUCCGCCUCCUGGGAGCCUGACAGCGGGUAGAUGGCGCCUGUGGUGUUGAUGCUUUCUUGGUUGUCGCAUGCUGGCUGUAGCCCUUUGCAGGCCCUACGCUUGGUGAUUUGUGGUCUGCACGUGCACAGGAGCUUGCCUGCCUGGCUGCGAUGGUCUGCUUUACCCCAUACCAUAACUGUCGGCCUGCCUCAGACUCUUGAAUUCUCCCUGACUGCCAGUGCCCAGGUCACCCCGCAGUGUGCCUGUCCUGGGCCUCUCCCCACACUUGCCACGUGCUG